UUUAUAUCGGUUGACCCAGCACGUGGGUUGUUUGUGCUUCGAACCUCAUCAUCACAUCAUCACCAGAGUCCACACACCGAGCGCUCGUCACAGCAGAGAACCUGAUUGCUCAUCCAGCGAGGCUAAUACAUAAUAAAAGGUAUGUGUACACUACAUGUCUAAUUCACUCUGUCUGUGUUGCAUUACCUAUUAAAGUAGUAUCUUUAUAUUGUUGAGGCUAGUUGGUUGGUUUGGCUAACGAUGUAGCUAACGUUAGCCAUUACCAUAGAAGCACGGAUAGCCUACAGCUUAUCCGUUUGGUCUGAAUUAUAUUAAUGAAUUAAUUAAACAAGUUCCUAAUGCCCAUGGCCACUUAAAUGAAGGGUUGAUGUGACACCCCCAAAGUAUGUGCACAUUUUGUGUAAAGGUUUUAUACUUUAAGCAAAAGUUUCUUUUUAUUCAUGUGAACUGUAAGAGAUUUGGGACUUGAAAGUAAAUCAGUAAAGGUUAGAAUAGUCUGUUGUGGUGAGAAACCAGGACUCUUAUUUUGAAAACUGAAAGGAGGACUCUUGGUGCGUUCAAGUCAUCUCGUAUCGAUCGUAUUUACGAGUUGAAUGCACAUGAACGCCACCACAAUAUCGUAAAUACCAGUGGGGAGCUCGGGAUUUUCUUUAAGCCCCGAUCUGUAUGAGUUGGGGGCGUGUCAGUGAUUAACAUCGCGGAAUCAAUGGAUGCAACGUCUGUAGUUGACGGUAAAUUUUAAUUGAAUUUCAAUGUUUACUAGUCUAUAAACUGUCAUUUAUCAUGAUCAUAAUUAAUCUUGUUAUAAGCAGCAAGUUAAUGAAUUACAACUAAAAAUCCUAACAUUUGUGCACCUUUAGACGAGAAAUGGUUUGAUUCGCAACAUUGCACAUGGCUUUAACAUUUUUUUUAUGUCUCCGUUUAGCAUUUUUCUAAUAGCAGAGUUAUUAAACCUUGCUGUAAUUUCCGUGUCAGUGAUUAACAUCGCGGAAUCAAUGGAUGCAACGUCUGUAGUUGACGAAGGUACAGCGCCAUCUUGCUCCGACGAAACUGACUUGAACGCACCUCACGUCGUCAGCACGACUUCCCUCCUCGUACGUAUGAAAUUCCCAGGAGGACUUGAACGCACCAUCUGAUAUAGGCGCAUACAGUCUAUGGUGCGCGCCCGCGCCCUUACAUCUGCUGAGCAACUGGUGCGACGUGACACGGAUUUUUCCUGUUAUUUUGCAGGUAUUAUUGUUACAACAACUUGAUAAUAUGUACACGAGAUCUGUAAUGCAAAUGUAUAUGUUCAUACCGCUGAUAUUUUGGAUAACUUAAUGACGUUCGGGGUUGUGAAUAUGUUGAUAUGCAGACUGUCCGCCAUUUUGUGAACGCUGUAACACGAGGUGAUUAUGAAAUGCGUUUAAAUCGAUUCAAAUAGACUCCAGUUACAGGUUAUAGUGUUCAUUAUGAGUUUACUUCAAAUUUGUGUUUGGUUUAUUAAGUUAUGUAUACAUAUAAAGAUCGGGUGCACUUAUUUUGCAGAACUGUCUUAUCUGUCCAACGCCUUCUGCGGGGGGUCUGUAACAUCAAGAAAUAUAUAAUAUAUUAAUAUUUAUGUGCCCUGAAGGCUAUGCUGUGAGCAGCCACAAAUAUUCUUGUGCAGCAAAAACAGAGUUUACAUGUAUGCAAUUUGUCAUAUGAAUUGUAUAGAGAGAGGGAGGAUUGUUUUCUCUAUAUAUUAGUGAUGCUAAAUAAAAUGGCUGGUAUCUUCACAUUGUUUUACAUUUCUGUGUCUGCAUUGCUUUUGCAUGGUGACAUAUGAAUAGUUAAUACAAUAGCAAUUGUAUUUUUGCUUAAGCUCUUUUUGUGUUUGUUUCAGAUCAAUGGACAGCUUUGUCAUUAACACUGACAGACCUUGUCGAAAGAUUUAAAGGUAAGAAAUAUUUUUCCCAUGCACCGCAUAUCAAGUCUGCACUACUACUCAAGCCCUUUUCAGACAUGAAUUCUUAUGAAAUAUAAUUUCCUCUUUUUUUCAAUAGCUUCCAUAGGGCACAUGUCUUUUGUAGGCUUUCAGUGCGUCAUUCUAUUUUGUAAUAACAAAUGAUGGAAUAUGCAUGUUUAUUACUAUAUCUUUCAUUGAAUUACCCAUACAUUUUUGUUUUGUACUCCUCUGUUGUAAAAAAGAUGUCUUUGUGUUUUCUUUUUUUGUCUUUCAGAGGAGGGGAUUGAUGAAGAGAGUUUUCUUUUAGAUGAGGCUACCAUCAACCAGUUGAUCCUAAAACAGGAGGGGAUGCUGACUUUGCCCCUGGAUGGAUUAACACCAGGUAAUAUAUUCUUGUCAGCAGAUCUUGUAAAUGCAGGGAAUGCGAUGGAAUAUGCAGGAUGUUUAUGCAAUUUUAUGUGAUGAAAUUGGAGGUAUUGUGAAAUCACAGGUAUGCUAUUUCACAUCGUAUUGAUACCUGUGUCUUCCUACAGAUGGUGUUGGGGAACUCGCCCUGAGACAGUUGCCAGCCUUGCUUUCACCUACAACUUAGAAAGUUGGCGGUGGCCGCGGUGUGAAAGUAGUUCGCCACACCAUUCAGGAAUGCAGCUUGGCCUUCAUCGACCAUAAGCCUUUAAGUCCUCAAGCACAUCUAAAGGGGAAACUUUAUUCAUUUUAUCAACAUAUCUGAGCUCAAGACUGUGCACGCACACAUGCAUAUCCAGGUUUGUUUUACUAUACUUUUGGGGACAGGUAUCAAAUAUAGCCUGACAGUAUUAGCUGUUCUACAUGCCUACAACUCGUCGGUCACUAUCAAAGCAUCCUAGAACACCUCAUUACUGCCACAGGCUGAUUACCUCUGUACCACACCACACUGAUGCAGUCAUUUGUUUUAAAACAGGCACCAACAAAGUAUUGAGUGCAGAAAUUAACAUAUUUAGGGAGGUUGACACUUUUGUAUUUUAACCCAUUUGGACCUGACUCCAUGAGGUUGACUCUAAAGAAGUCUUCUAAAUCCACAAAGCAUUUGCGGCCCACCUAUCUGACUGCCUAACCCUGCUGCCUAUCACCCAGAUAGGAUAGUCAUUUUCUGAGCAUGUUUAUUGUAAUGUUAGAUCAUCAAUCAAUUUAUGGCUUUUUAGGUCAAUUGAGCUCUGAAUCCUUUUUUCAAUUGUUUUCUGUAAUGUGAGCUAUAUGCUCUAAGACUUAGUCAAAAAAGGUUUGGAAUAUUUCGUUAUGUGCAAUGAAAUGUAGACUAUUACAGUUCAACUUUUUGAAGUAGAAAUGCACUGAAUCUUUUCCAAAUUGUAAAGCUAACUAGACUUUAUCAUAAUACAAUAAUUUCUCUAGUGAGGACCAGGAAAAUGGUCCUCACAAUGACUAUAUUUUAAUUCUACUAUAGUAGUCGGUAGACAUUUGGUCCUUACUCACUGGCACUUUGGCUCUCUUGUAUUUUCUUUUUUAGCCUGGAAUAAACAUGGUGGAGUACCUCCAUGAGGCCAAGGCAUGCAAGCCUUGCCCCCACAUCCUGACACUGGGAAAUGAUCAGAGUGCAUUUCAGGCCUUCGUCAUAAAAGCUGGACAGGCCCUGGAACAAGAAACACUGCUUCAGGCCAUUGAUGUCUGCUUCAAGGCAUUCUUUGUCUUUGACAUUGAAUAGCCAAAGCAGUGUGAACGUGUGGGAAUUCAUACAGAAUGUGAUGUAUGAAAUCCCAGGAGGGGAGUCUAAAAUGGUUGAGUUUAUUCAAACUAGAAUACUUGCUUGCAAGUAGAGCUAAUAAAGACUGGACAGGCCCUGGAACAAGAAACAACUAGCUUCAGGCCAUUGAUGUCUGCUUCAAGGCAUUCUUUGUCUUUGACAUUGAAUAGCCAAAGCAGUGUGAACGUGUGGGAAUUCAUACAGAAUGUGAUGUAUGAAAUCCCAGGAGGGGAGUCUAAAAUGGUUGAGUUUAUUCAAACUAGAAUACUUGCUUGCAAGUAGAGCUAAUGGCUCUUAAAAGCAGCAUUUAGGAAUUUGAAUUUGUUCAUUAUAGAGUUGCUAAAUAACCCAACCGCUGGGUCAAAACAACCCAACCGCUGGGUUGGUCCCUUUUUAACCCAGCACUGGGUUAUAUUUAACCCAGCAUUUUUUAGAGUGUGACUGUUGGCCUGUUGAAUGUUCAGCCAGUUCAAUCGAAAUUGUUGUUUUGCUCUGAAUGUUUUCCAACCUGAGUGAACUGCACCAGUUCCACUGUAUUGUCGAUAUUAAUAUAAUAAAUUUUUUCAAAGAUUUCAUUGUUUUGUUCUUGUAUUAAGUGUUUAUUGCAUAAUAUAUGCAUAAAUCUAGCAUGUAUUCUGUUCUAGGUUUGUAGUUUCACAGUUUUAUAUGGGUAGUCUAUUGCAAUUUAU
rnacentral:lncRNA from 1 species